UACGGGGGGGGCAAGCGUUGUUCGGAAUUACUGGGCGUAAAGGGCUCGUAGGCGGCCGACUAAGUCAGACGUGAAAUCCCUCGGCUCAACCGGGGAACUGCGUCUGAUACUGGACGGCUUGAAUCCGGGAGAGGGAUGCGGAAUUCCAGGUGUAGCGGUGAAAUGCGUAGAUAUCUGGAGGAACACCGGUGGCAAAGGCGGCAUCCUGGACCGGCAUUGACGCUGAGGAGCGAAAGCCAGGGGAG
rnacentral:rRNA from 1 species